CUACGUGCCAGCAGCCGCGGUAAUACGUAGGUCCCGAGCGUUGUCCGGAUUUAUUGGGCGUAAAGCGAGCGCAGGCGGUUAGAUAAGUCUGAAGUUAAAGGCCGGGGCUUAACUCCGUGUAUUGCAGUGGGUACGGGCAGACUAGAGUGCAGUAGGGGAGACUGGAAUUCCUGGUGUAGCGGUGGAAUGCGCAGAUAUCAGGAGGAACACCGAUGGCGAAGGCAGGUCUCUGGGCUGUAACUGACGCUGAGAAGCGAAAGCAUGGGGAGCGAACAGGAUUAGAUACCCUGGUAGUCCAUGCCGUAAACGAUGAGUGCUAGGUGUUGGGUCCUUUCCGGGACUCAGUGCCGCAGCUAACGCAUUAAGCACUCCGCCUGGGGAGUACGACCGCAAGGUUGAAACUCAAAGGAAUUGACGGGGGCCCGCACAAGCGGUGGAGCAUGUGGUUUAAUUCGAAGCAACGCGAAGAACCUUACCAGGUCUUGACAUCCCUCUGACCGCUCUAGAGAUAGAGCUUUCCUUCGGGACA
rnacentral:rRNA from 1 species